rnacentral:rRNA from 1 species
UACGGGGGGGGCAAGCGUUGUUCGGAAUUACUGGGCGUAAAGGGCUCGUAGGUGGCCAACUAAGUCAGACGUGAAAUCCCUCAGCUUAACUGGGGAACUGCGUCUGAUACUGGAUGGCUUGAGUCCGGGAGAGGUGAGUGGAACUGCGAGUGUAGAGGUGAAAUUCGUAGAUAUUCGCAAGAACACCAGUGGCGAAGGCGGCUCACUGGCCCGGUACUGACGCUGAGGCACGAAAGCGUGGGGAGCAAACAGG